AUGGCGUGGAACGUCACGGGUCCGACCCAUUGCCGAGCAUCGUUCUCGUGUUCAGUAGGGAGAUGGGUCACCGCCUCGUUCCUAGGAACCGAAUAUUCGGCCCAGAUGCGGAACCAGGUGAUACCUCCAAAACGAGCGGACGACGCGGAACCGGCUCUCUUCUCGCACGCCCAGCCCUAUCGCCUCUCCUCGCUGCGCCGCCUCCCCCUCGUCUCUCUCUCUCUCUCCCUCGAUCUGCGCCGCCCCGCCCCGCCCCGCCUUCCCCCGAUUCUUUCCCUCGCCGCGGCUGACUCCUCCCCUCUUGAUCUACAGCACAUGAGGGAAGCAGGCCGUCCUUUCUCUCGAUCUGGAGCUGCGUGACGGUAGUUUUGCAGAGGGGUUGCAGCUGGGCGGCGGUGUAGGCGUGCUUCCGGCGAGCUAACAACGGCGGUAGAGGCUCCUCUCCUCAAGAUUUUGUUGCUGCAACCUCUACAAUCUACCUCAUACAUUGGUCAAGCGUGCUGCUGCUGCUGCUCCAAGGCAGGAUGCCACACUGAAGCCAAAUGCACAAAUUAUCCCAAAGAAGGCAGCAUACAUUUGUUCAGAUCAAAUCAGCUCAGAGUUAGCCAAUACCGAAUCAGUGUUUUUCUUUACCUUUGGCGUCAUGUACACAGAAAAGAAAACGCCUACGAAGAUCCUGAUUUCCGUUGUGAAGUAUUGUGGUGUAUGUUUGCAUAUUCACAUGGAAAAUGAACUUGCUAUAUUAUGAUAUUGUUGUUGAAAAUUGUGUUCUGUGUAAUAUCAUAUAUGUAUCAUGCUUGUCAAUAUAUAGUGUUAUGUUGUUGUUUUU